rnacentral:lncRNA from 1 species
CCUGACAGCCUGAGUGUCUUUUAUAGACGUCUGUACCUGGUGUGGCUGAACCGGAUGGCACCGUUGAGCCAGGGCUUCCUCUAGUUAUUGGAAGUCUAGGGCUCCAAAUAUAUAAACUACACCCAGCCCAGGUGGGGUUGGCCGAGGCCCAACAAAUUAGGGUUUCCCGGAGCCCAACAGUUCAUUAAGCACACCCAACUCAGGGAAAGGCCCAAUAGCCCCAAAAGACUAGUCUAAUGGGAGAAGGGUGGCUCUCCCUUUUAAAGUGGCUUCCUCCUCCCAAGUUAAGCGAGGUAGGAUAAUUCUGAGGCUCACACGGUCGCCGUCCGACUACAAUUGGGCCAACUGGGCCGAUUGCGUCUUUGCCAACGGGUAAUAGUGGAGGAUGUCCUCAUCAUUCCUACCUUCUUAAAAUGGGCCCUAGCUCUAAUACCAGAUGAUACACCCAGCCCAGGUGGGGUUGGCCGAGGCCCAACAAAUUAGGGUUUCCCGGAGCCCAACAGUUCAUUAAGCACACCCAACUCAAGGAAAGGCCCAAUCGCCCCAAAAGACUAGUCCAAUGGGAGAAGGGUGGCUCUCCCUUUUAAAGUGGCUUCCUCCUCCCAAGUUAAGCGAGGUGGGAUAAUUCUGAGGCUCACACGGUCGUCGUCCGACUACAUUGGGCCAAUUGGGCCAAUUGUGUCUUUGCCAACGGGUAAUAGUGGAGGAUGUCCUCAUCAUUCCUACCUUCUUAAAAUGGGCCCUAGCUCUGAUACCAGAUGAUACACCUAGCCCAGGUGGGGUUGGCCGAGGCCCAACAAAUUAGGGUUUCCUGGAGCCCAACAGUUCAUUAAGCACACCCAACUCAGGGAAAGGCCCAAUCGCCCCAAAAAGACUAGUCC